UUAAGUGACUAAGCGUACAUGGUGGAUGCCUUGGCAGUCAGAGGCGAUGAAGGACGUACUAACCUGCGAUAAGCCGUGAGCAGUCGGUAAGAGACAUUACGACUCACGGAUUUCCGAAUGGGGAAACCCACUUAGCAUAAGCUAGGUAUCGCUACGUGAAUACAUAGCGUAGCGAGGCGAACCGGGAGAACUGAAACAUCUAAGUACCCCGAGGAAAAGAAAUCAACCGAGAUUCCCUCAGUAGCGGCGAGCGAACGGGGAUUAGCCCUUAAGCAUCUUGGAAGUUAGUGGAACGGUCCUGGAAAGGCCGGCGAUACAGGGUGAUAGCCCCGUACACGAAAACAACCUUGAUGUGAAAUCGAGUAGGGCGGGACACGUGACAUCCUGUCUGAAUAUGGGGGGACCAUCCUCCAAGGCUAAAUACUCCUGACUGACCGAUAGUGAACCAGUACCGUGAGGGAAAGGCGAAAAGAACCCCUGUGAGGGGAGUGAAAUAGAACCUGAAACCGUGUACGUACAAGCAGUGGGAGCCCUUCGGGGUGACUGCGUACCUUUUGUAUAAUGGGUCAGCGACUUACAUUUUGUAGCGAGGUUAACCGUAUAGGGGAGCCGUAGGGAAACCGAGUCUUAACUGGGCGUCUAGUUGCAAGGUGUAGACCCGAAACCGGGUGAUCUAGCCAUGGGCAGGUUGAAGGUUGAGUAACAUCAACUGGAGGACCGAACCCACUAACGUUGCAAAGUUAGGGGAUGACCUGUGGCUGGGGGUGAAAGGCCAAUCAAACUCGGAGAUAGCUGGUUCUCCCCGAAAGCUAUUUAGGUAGCGCCUCGGACGAAUACUACUGGGGGUAGAGCACUGUUUGGGCUAGGGGGUCAUCCCGACUUACCAACCCCAUGCAAACUCCGAAUACCAGUAAGUAAUAUCCGGGAGACACACGGCGGGUGCUAACGUCCGUCGUGAAGAGGGAAACAACCCAGACCGCCGGCUAAGGUCCCAAAGUUCUGGUUAAGUGGGAAACGAUGUGGGAAGGCUCAGACAGCUAGGAUGUUGGCUUAGAAGCAGCCAUCAUUUAAAGAAAGCGUAAUAGCUCACUAGUCGAGUCGGCCUGCGCGGAAGAUGUAACGGGGCUCAAACCAGGCACCGAAGCCGCGGAUUCACGCUAAGCGUGAGUGGUAGGGGAGCGUUCUGUAAGUCUGCGAAGGUGUAUCGAGAGGUAUGCUGGAGAUAUCAGAAGUGCGAAUGCUGACGUAAGUAACGAUAAAGGGGGUGAAAAGCCUCCUCGCCGGAAGACCAAGGGUUCCUGUCCAACGUUAAUCGGGGCAGGGUGAGUCGACCCCUAAGGCGAGGCCGAAAGGCGUAGUCGAUGGGAAGCAGGUUAAUAUUCCUGCACGACUUGUAAUUGCGAUGGGGGGACGGAGAAGGCUAGGUGGGCCAGGCGACGGUUGUCCUGGUGAAAGUGCGUAGGUGGUGUUUCUAGGCAAAUCCGGAGACACAACACUGAGACACGAGACGAACACACUACGGUGUGGAAGCCAUUGAUGCCCUGCUUCCAGGAAAAGCCUCUAAGCUUCAGAUUACAAGUCAUCGUACCCCAAACCGACACAGGUGGUCGGGUAGAGAAUACCAAGGCGCUUGAGAGAACUCGGGUGAAGGAACUAGGCAAAAUAGAACCGUAACUUCGGGAGAAGGUUCGCUCUUGACAGUGAAGUCCCUUGCGGAUGGAGCAGUUGGGAGUCGCAGUGACCAGAUGGCUGGGACUGUUUAUCAAAAACACAGCACUCUGCAAACACGAAAGUGGACGUAUAGGGUGUGACACCUGCCCGGUGCCGGAAGGUUAAUUGAUGGGGUUAGCGCAAGCGAAGCUCUUGAUCGAAGCCCCGGUAAACGGCGGCCGUAACUAUAACGGUCCUAAGGUAGCGAAAUUCCUUGUCGGGUAAGUUCCGACCUGCACGAAUGGUGUAACCAUGGCCAUGCUGUCUCCACCCGAGACUCAGUGAAAUCGAAUUCGCCGUGAAGAUGCGGUGUACCCGCGGCUAGACGGAAAGACCCCGUGAACCUUUACUACAGCUUGGCACUGAACAUUGAACCUACAUGUGUAGGAUAGGUGGGAGGCUUUGAAGGCGUGACGCCAGUUGCGCUGGAGCCGUCCUUGAAAUACCACCCUUGUAUGUUUGAUGUUCUAACGCAGGCCCGUGAAUCCGGGUCGCGGACAGUGCCUGGUGGGUAGUUUGACUGGGGCGGUCUCCUCCCAAAGAGUAACGGAGGAGCACGAAGGUUGGCUAAUCCUGGUCGGACAUCAGGAGGUUAGUGCAAUGGCAUAAGCCAGCUUAACUGCGAGACGGACAGGUCGAGCAGGUACGAAAGUAGGUCAUAGUGAUCCGGUGGUUCUGAAUGGAAGGGCCAUCGCUCAACGGAUAAAAGGUACUCCGGGGAUAACAGGCUGAUACCGCCCAAGAGUUCAUAUCGACGGCGGUGUUUGGCACCUCGAUGUCGGCUCAUCACAUCCUGGGGCUGAAGUCGGUCCCAAGGGUAUGGCUGUUCGCCAUUUAAAGUGGUACGCGAGCUGGGUUCAGAACGUCGUGAGACAGUUCGGUCCCUAUCUGCCGUGGGCGUUGGAUGAUUGAAGGGAGUUGCUCCUAGUACGAGAGGACCGGAGUGAACGAACCUCUGGUGUUCGGGUUGUCACGCCAGUGGCACUGCCCGGUAGCUAAGUUCGGAAUCGAUAACCGCUGAAAGCAUCUAAGCGGGAAGCGAGCCCUGAGAUGAGUCAUCCCUGACCCCUUGAGGGUCCUAAAGGGCCGUUGGAGACCACAACGUUGAUAGGUGGGGUGUGUAAGCGCGGCGACGUGUUGAGCUAACCCAUACUAAUUACCCGUGAGGCUUAACCA
rnacentral:rRNA from 1 species